UACGGAGGAUCCAAGCGUUAUCCGGAAUCAUUGGGUUUAAAGGGUCCGCAGGCGGUCUUUUAAGUCAGAGGUGAAAUCCUAUCGCUCAACGAUAGAACUGCCUUUGAUACUGAAAGACUUGAGUUAUUGUGAAGUGGUUAGAAUAUGUAGUGUAGCGGUGAAAUGCAUAGAUAUUACAUAGAAUACCGAUUGCGAAGGCAGAUCACUAACAAUACACUGACGCUGAGGGACGAAAGCGU
rnacentral:rRNA from 1 species